AACUAUUCCAAUCCAAUGCUCAUGGCCAAGAGGAUAAAAAACCAAUUGCUCAGUUAUGGCAGUUGGGUGGGAGAUGCCCUGAAGGAACUAUUCCUAUUAGAAGAAACCAGAAAGCAAGAUACGCAAAGAAGAAGCACAGAAACUUUCCCCAGCUCGCUGGCUUUUCCAAUCACGAGGUACCAUAAACAAUUGGAAAUUGGUUGUGUACCUUAACGGAAGGAUGACCUAUUCUGUGUCACGUAGUCCCACACCAUGCCAUCAAAAGUAGAACGACCGUCGUGCGUUUCACGGCUCACCGGUUAGCCAUGAGAACGAUCGUCAUGCAUUUCUUAACGUUGUCAACGAAGUAUCGAGCACUGGCGGUUAGAACCAACGGAGAAUCGUUGGUAGGCCAUUUUUUAGCGAAGGCAAAAGAGCAACUACGUGCGACGGCUGUGACAGUCACUCGAAACAUCUACUCAUACUAUAUUUUUGCUGGAAUUUUGUAGCAACACACGCCUGCAUGUUUACAUAGUAUGCAUAUGCAUCUGUCCAGAGUAACAAGUAUUUGGGAGCAAAGGCAACAAUAAACCUUUGGCAACCCCAGGUUCAGGGCAGUGGUGAAUUUAGCUUGGCUCAAAUAUGGGUUGUUGCAGGUAUAUCCAAGUCACUUUGGAGAUAGCAACACAAGACUUUUCACUUACUGGACC